rnacentral:rRNA from 1 species
ACAUAUCAAUAAGCGGAGGAAAAGAAACCAACAGGGAUUGCCCCAGUAACGGCGAGUGAAGCGGCAACAGCUCAAAUUUGAAAUCUGGCCCCCGGGUCCGAGUUGUAAUUUGCAGAGGAUGCUUUGGGCGAGGUUCCUUCCGAGUUCCCUGGAACGGGACGCCACAGAGGGUGAGAGCCCCGUCUGGUCGGACACCGAGCCCGUGUAAAGCUCCUUCGACGAGUCGAGUAGUUUGGGAAUGCUGCUCAAAAUGGGAGGUAUAUGUCUUCUAAAGCUAAAUAUUGGCCAGAGACCGAUAGCGCACAAGUAGAGUGAUCGAAAGAUGAAAAGCACUUUGAAAAGAGGGUUAAAAAGUACGUGAAAUUGUUGAAAGGGAAGCGCCUAUGACCAGACUUGCGCCCGGUGAAUCAUCCAGCGUUCUCGCUGGUGCACUUUGCCGGGCACAGGCCAGCAUCAGUUUGGCGCGGGGGACAAAGGCUUCGGGAAUGUGGCUCCCUCGGGAGUGUUAUAGCCCGCUGCGCAAUACCCUGCACCGGACUGAGGUACGCGCAUCGCAAGGAUGCUGGCGUAAUGGUCAUCAGCGACCCGUCUUGAAACACGGACCAAGGAGUCGUCUUCGUAUGCGAGUGUUCGGGUGUUAAACCCCUACGCGGAAUGAAAGUGAACGUAGGUGAGAGCUUCGGCGCAUCAUCGACCGAUCCUGAUGUUCUCGGAUGGAUUUGAGUAAGAGCAUACGGGGCCGGACCCGAAAGAAGGUGAACUAUGCCUGUAUAGGGUGAAGCCAGAGGAAACUCUGGUGGAGGCUCGCAGCGGUUCUGACGUGCGAAUCGAUCGUCAAAUAUGGGCAUGGGGGCGAAAGACUAAUCGAACCUUCUAGUAGCUGGUUUCCGCGAUCU